rnacentral:piRNA from 1 species
UGAACAGAUGGACGGCAGGAUAGCCCAGGG